UACGGGGGGGGGCAAGCGUUGUUCGGAAUUACUGGGCGUAAAGGGCUCGUAGGCGGCCAACUAAGUCAGACGUGAAAUCCCCAGCUCAACCUGGGAACUGCGUCUGAUACUGGAUGGCUUGAAUCCGGGAGAGGGAUGCAGAAUUCCAGGUGUAGCGGUGAAAUGCGUAGAUAUCUGGAGGAAUACCGGUGGCGAAGGCGGCAUCCUGGACCGGCAUUGACGCUGAGGAGCGAAAGCCAGGGGAGCAAAGCAGGG
rnacentral:rRNA from 1 species